AGCUGGCUGUGCAAGGAGAAUCUGAAUAGAGCCAAAGAAUCAGGCAUUGGUUGGUUUCACUGAGCAACUGAAGUUUUAGAAAGUUAAAGUUGUAUCCACAACUCCCCCCUGCCCCCACACACACCCUAGGGCUUUGCUUUAGUCCCCUGAACAAAGCCAUCAUUCUCUUUUUAAAGGCAGGUGAAACAGGGUUGCAUUGCUGUAUCUCAGCACCCACCACUGUACUUUCCAAGAUGUCUCAGUAUAACCAGUUUGGCACCACAGGGUUCUUCUGCUCAUGUUGUCUUCCUUUGUUUGGAUUGCUAGUUGGGAAAAUUGAUUUUUUUUUUUUUCCCAGAUUGAGUGAGGUAAACAAAACAUGAUGGGGCUGGACGAAGCCGGGGGAGACAUGACUUCAUCUUGCAACCCUGACAGUGUCAACUGAGAAAAAAACACAAUGUGGGAGUUGUGAGUUAAAUUUUAUUUGGAGCAAAAUAUGGGCUCUAAUCCAGGAGACAGCCUCUCAGAGAGCUCUGCGGAACUGCUCUGGAGGGAAGAUUAUGUGGUUUUUACAAAUUGAAGAUUUGUGACAAUGCCGAAUCAAGCAAGUCCAUCGAUACCGGUUUGCAAACAGCGUUUUCUCACCUUGCGUCUCCGUGUCUCCCGUUGGAUCUUAGUUAUCCAACCAGGGAUUGAACUUGCAGUGAAAAUGCUGAGUACUGAGCACUGGACAACCACAGAAAUCCCCUUUUUGCUAUUCUUAAAAUUUGCCAAAUUUGCUUCAGACUUGGUUCUUUAUUCUUGCUUCUCUCUUGUCCACGAUACUCCUGUUCAACUUGUUUUUAAUACUUGUACCCUCACUUCAAGAUUUGUUUUGUUGUUAUCUCUUCAGAGUGUAUUUCUCUGACUACCAUUUUAAAAAUAGAUACCUUUCAUUCUCUCACCUAAUCACAAUUUCCUUCCUUCCUUACUUUUUCUUCAUAGCAAAUGUUCCUACCUGGUAUAAUAAAUUCAUUUACCUAAAGCACCCUGCCUGUAACAUGCACUCCUGAAUUUUGUCUUUUUCAUAUGCAUCCCAAGUGACUAACAGGAUGCCUGGCACAUUCAAAAAACAUGUGUUGAAUGAGUUAAUAAAUGAUUUCCUAGUUUCUUAUGCAUCAGAUAGUUAGGAAAAUACCUACCCUGGAAAUCUCAUGUUUAUUUUUCCUGAGUGUUAAAUAAAAUAUUAUCUGUGUUG